rnacentral:rRNA from 1 species
GAUGAACGCUAGCUACAGGCUUAACACAUGCAAGUCGAGGGGUAGCAGGGUAGCAAUACCGCUGACGACCGGCGCACGGGUGAGUAACACGUAUCCAACCUUCCCAUAACUCGGGGAUAGCCUUUCGAAAGAAAGAUUAAUACCCGAUAGUACUUUUUCAAGGCAUCUUGAGAAAGUUAAAGAUUUAUUGGUUAUGGAUGGGGAUGCGUUCCAUUAGAUAGUUGGUGAGGUAACGGCUCACCAAGUCUUCGAUGGAUAGGGGUUCUGAGAGGAAGGUACCCCACAUUGGUACUGAGACACGGACCAAACUCCUACGGGAGGCAGCAGUGAGGGAUAUUGGUCAAUGGGCGAGAGCCUGAACCAGCCAAGUAGCGUGAAGGAUGAAGGUCCUAUGGAUUGUAAACUUCUUUUAUAGUAGAAUAAAGUGACCUACGUGUAGGUUUUUGUAUGUAUACUAUGAAUGAGGAUCGGCUAACUCCGUGCCAGCCGCCGCAGUAA